CAAUAGCGUAUAUUAAAGUUGUUGCGGUUAAAAAGCUCGUAGUUGGAUUUCUGUUGAGGACGGCCGGUCCGCACUAUGUGCGUGUAUCUGGUUCGGCCUUGGCAUCCUCUUGAGGAACGUAUCUGCGCUUGAUUGCGUGGAGCGGUAUUCAAGACUUUUACUUUGAGGAAAUUAGAGUGUUCACGGCAGGCAAGCGCCUUGAAUACGUUAGCAUGGAAUGAUAAUAUAGGAUCUUGGUUCUAUUUUGUUGGUUUCUAGAGCUAAGGUAAUGAUUAAUAGGGAUAAUUGGGGGCAUUUGUAUUAACGCGUCAGAGGUGGAAUUCUUGGAUUGCGUUACGACAAACUACUGCGAAAGCAUUUGCCAAGGAUGUUUNCAUUGA
rnacentral:rRNA from 1 species